GACGAACGCUGGCGGCGUGCUUAACACAUGCAAGUCGAACGAAGAGCGAUGGAAGCUUGCUUCCAUCAAUCUUAGUGGCGAACGGGUGAGUAACGCGUAAUCAACCUGCCCUUCAGAGGGGGACAACAGUUGGAAACGACUGCUAAUACCGCAUACGAUCCAAUCUCGGCAUCGGGACUGGAUGAAAGGUGGCCUCUAUUUAUAAGCUAUCACUGAAGGAGGGGAUUGCGUCUGAUUAGCUAGUUGGAGGGGUAACGGCCCACCAAGGCGAUGAUCAGUAGCCGGUCUGAGAGGAUGAACGGCCACAUUGGGACUGAGACACGGCCCAGACUCCUACGGGAGGCAGCAGUGGGGAAUCUUCCGCAAUGGACGAAAGUCUGACGGAGCAACGCCGCGUGAGUGAUGACGGCCUUCGGGUUGUAAAGCUCUGUUAAUCGGGACGAAUGGUUCUUGUGCGAAUAGUGCGAGGAUUUGACGGUACCGGAAUAGAAAGCCACGGCUAACUACGUG
rnacentral:rRNA from 1 species